rnacentral:rRNA from 1 species
UACAGAGGUGGCAAGCGUUGUUCGGAAUUACUGGGCGUAAAGGGCGCGUAGGCGGUUCGUUAAGUCCUGUGUGAAAUCCCCCGGCUCAACUGGGGAACUGCAUAGGAAACUAGCGGGCUUGAGUUCGGGAGAGGGAAGCGGAAUUCCGGGUGUAGCGGUGAAAUGCGUAGAUAUUGGGAAGAACACCGGUGGCGAAAGCGCUCUGCUGGACCUGCACUGACACUGAGGGACGAAAGCUAGGGGAGCGAAAGGG